AGACAUGGCACAAACACAUGAGUCAUGGAAAAAAUUCUUUGUGUGGGAAGCAGGAAAAACAAAUGGGGCCCAACUUCCAGUUGUUCAAAUGCUCAAAAGUAUUGGACAAACAGACGUGACCUCUGCAACGGAAUGUGACUACCUUCUAGUCUUCUGUCCUGUUGUUUCACGAGUUGGAACGGACAUCGGCGAGGCCCUGCACAACAUAACUCCUGGCAAACCAGUAAUACUGGUAGUGAUGCAUCACACCUUCAAUCCUCACCAUGUUGUAGCUGAAAGCCGGAGGCAGGUGGACAACCCAAAUGUCCACCUAACUGUGGACUGUCUGUUUCAUGAAGGCCGUCUCCUCAAUUGCAACCUCAAUGAUACCAUGUCGAGUGACAUCAAAAGAUUUUUUGGUUCUGAAUCCCCAGCUCCAGCCUUAAUUCACAACUUGAUGUCUUUGUGGCAACGCAUCCCAAGUUUCUUUUUAGGUUUCUUCAUCUGGAAAAUAUUUGGACUUUGUUGCUCCAGUAUUUGGAAUUUAUUCGUGUGUAAGUAUAAUCAUUAAUUAUUUUUAUCUUCAUUCAUGUCUUCAUCUUUUAUCUUCAUAAAGGUACAGUUUUUAGAACAAAUAUCCCAAUGUAUCCUAACUCACAGCGUAGCCGGAAAGCCUGUAUGCUGCAACCUUCUACACCAUUCAAGUCAUUGCCAACUGCAUCAACCUUUUUGCGGAUGUGCACAUCAGGUUGUGUGGGAGGUGACGGCACUGAGUUAAAAUGACUUUUCAGUUACAAUGUAAAUUCCUGUACAAGUCUAAUUCACACAUAAGUUAGCAUGGUAGAACAGGAUUUCUUGAUGUAUGCUCAACCAUCCUAGUAAGUAAAUCCCAAAAGGUUGAUUCCACAACCUUAUAAACAGCACAUUUGCAGUCAUUGUGCAAAUGUACUGUUUAUAAAGUUGGGGAAACCAGCAGUCAGCUGAGACUGAAGAAGUCACUUGGAUGGGUGAUGAAAAUGGUUUUUUUGAAAAUGCUACGUCCAGAUGAACGGAAUCAACCUUCUGGGGUAGAGUAACAUCUAGAUGUUGGUUGUCCAUGCUGUCUCACCAAAAUAAAAAGAAUAUUUUUUUGUGGUCACUUUGGUUUCUCCCUCUAAAUAAUGAGGUUAUUUAUUAUUGUACUAGUGUUUAUAUCUAUUUUGCUCAUGAACUGAUAAAAAAAGAGGUAAAGGAAAGGAUACAUGACUAUGCCUAAAUCUUUGUUUACCUAUAUUCUGUCAUUUGCGCGUGAGUGGUAAAAAAUAACAGAUGAGUUACUCUUCUGUUUUCAUUUUACUUUUAGGUUUAGGUAGCCCCAUCUGGAAAAAAAUCAGACCUUGUAAGUAUUACUGUAUUAGUUUUAGCUUUGUUGGUGGUGGAUCCUUAAACAUAUAAUAACAUGUUUUGUAGAAAUCACUCAGCCUGUUUACAAUGUAAUCAGAAUGUGGUGAUGAGCAAACACAAAUGUCACUCUACUCAGAACUAGUCUUACAGGUCACUUGAGUCAGUUACACACACUUGUAAAAGUACUUAGUACUUUCAGUAUUCGGAAACCAGCUACUGCAGACAUAUGGUCGCUCUACAUGUCUCUCACAGAAUGUGUCUCUCUAGCAUAAGUAUGGUCCACUGUGGCUUAUUGCUCUUUUUGUCUUUAUUUUUCUUAAUUUUAGGCUUGAAUCCUCUGGUACAUAUGGCUGGAUUGAUUGUUUCUUUGCUGAUGGCAGUUGUGACAUCAUUCAGCUCCAAAAUAUGGAAGAGAAAUAAAAGCGGGAAAUGAGGACUGCAAAACAAAAUCCAAAUGCAAUAAUUUAACAAUAUCACAGUAUGUUUUCUUGAUACUGUAUCUAAAACAAAAUAUAAGUAAUAUAUCCUGCCUUUGUAAUCAUUAAAGAUGUGUUAGUUAUGUGUUAUUGUUAUGAAAGCUGGUAUAGAUGUUUUAGGGAUGAAUCUUUUGAUCAUUGGUACUGUAGCAUGUUAAAGAUGAAAUGUUGCUUUACUCACAUGUCCAAGGCAAGACUGAAAAGUGAGCUUUAAGAAAACAGAACCAUUUCUUUCCCAGUUAUUGCAGACAUGCUUAUAUAUUUUAAAAUAAUGAAUUUAUUGAGAGGAUAUCUUGGUGUCAUUUGUUGCUUUUGUUCAUUCUGAAUUCAAAGACAUUCUUUAUUAAGUGACAUUAAAAACUGUUUCUGAUUUAGGGUUAGACGUUUGUUAUGAUUUAAUGUUGUCAGUGUUUUGUUUUAUGUCAUGUUUAAGGAUUUGUUCUUGGUUGUAUCGCACGUUUAGUUCAGGUUCCAUGUAUCAUUCUGUCUCUCAGUGUCAGGUCUGCGUUUUGGUGUAGUGUUUUCGUUUCCUGUUUUAUUGUGAAGGUCUGCGUCUCAUGUGAGUGUGUUCAGUUUUACCUCUGUCUCGUCUUGUUGAUUAUUCCCAGCUGUGUUCCCCACCUGUGUGUAAUCUCCCUGUGUUUCCCUGUGUGCAUUUAAGUCGCGUCCUCUGUCUUUGUAGUUUGGCUGGUCCGUCUGUGUAUCCACCAUGUCUCAUCCGUAUGUUUCCCUGCUGCCCAACCGUCAUCUGUUUUCUGCUGGCUGUUAUUCGUGUUCAGGUUUGUGUUUCUGUUCAGGGUCAGUAGUUUAGUUUUCCCAGUAUAGUUUAGUUCUCCGUUUACCAUUUUGUCCAUCUCUUUUGUUGUGCUUGCCUUAGCGGCACCAGCCAUUUUUAGCCAACCUGAUUGUCCAUUUUAAUAUAAAACCUCUUCUCACCCACAAUCUGGUAUUCAUCUUCUUUUAUGUUGCGGCUAUGAGCCGGGUCGUAACACGUUACAGCUGUAACAAAUUGCGAAAUUGCAUUUUCGCUUAAAAUCUUGAAUUAAAAUGUACACACAAUGAGAAUGUUAAGCGUGGAACACAAUAAAACCAGAGACUGCCCCGCCCCUGACCCCCUUUUUUUUUUUUAAUAAAUAUUGAGAAAUGAACUUAAAAGAGCAUAUUAGUGUGUGGUUCAACUUUAUGCAAUUUAACUUUCUGAAAAGAAAGAAAACAAGAGCCAUAUUGAGAAAUCUCUGCUGAUAAUGAUCCACACCCUUUUUCACACCUUGGCUCAUGUGAUGAGGCACAUGGUCAACAGUGGGUCAACGUCCCUCUUAAGAGACAACUCCAACUAGGGCUUAAUACCUGGGACUCUCCAGCAUUUGGUCUUAGAACUGAAGAAGCUUCUCAGAUGAGAGUUGAAGCAUCUUCAAGAAACUUGAAGUCCAGCAUGAAACACAUGCAGACAGACGCACACAUCGCAUACAAAAUUGUAACUCUCACCCUGUGUCCCUGAUGUGCAAUUGCACCAAGUGCAAUUUUCCCUAUGUAACAAAGUAUUUUAUUCUAUUUGUAUUGUAUAUAGUAUUAUUUCUAUUUUGUAUAGUAUGUUAUUCUGUUUAUCUUAUUCUAUUCUAUAGUUUUUUCUCUUUUUCUCUUAUUUUUGUUACUGCUCUUGUACUUCCUGCCGUGACCAAAAAUGUCCCACGUGUGGGACUAAUAAAGAUUUAUCUUAUCUUAAAGUCCAGGUGCUUUCCUUUUAAGCUCCUUAGAUUAAUUUUGAUGCUAUGCGUUGACAUGUGUCAGCUUGAAGUAGAUAGGAAAGGUAAUAGAUAAUUCAUUAAUAGACAAAGAACAUAAUAACUGCCGACCGUACCUGCUAUAUUCAUUUCAGUCUGUUGAAUGUUCAACAAAAGCCUCAUAGUCAUUCAUAGUUGCCUUAUAUAAAAAUGGUUUAUAUAGUUGUUUCAC
rnacentral:lncRNA from 1 species